GUGCCAGCAGCCGCGGUAAUACGUAGGGCGCAAGCGUUGUCCGGAAUUAUUGGGCGUAAAGAGCUCGUAGGCGGUUUGUCGCGUCUGCUGUGAAAGCCCGGGGCUCAACCCCGGGUCUGCAGUGGGUACGGGCAGACUAGAGUGCAGUAGGGGAGACUGGAAUUCCUGGUGUAGCGGUGAAAUGCGCAGAUAUCAGGAGGAACACCGAUGGCGAAGGCAGGUCUCUGGGCUGUUACUGACGCUGAGGAGCGAAAGCAUGGGGAGCGAACAGGAUUAGAUACCCUGGUAGUCCAUGCCGUAAACGUUGGGCACUAGGUGUGGGGGGCAUUCCACGUUCUCCGCGCCGUAGCUAACGCAUUAAGUGCCCCGCCUGGGGAGUACGGCCGCAAGGCUAAA
rnacentral:rRNA from 1 species